GCCAGCAGCCGCGGUAAUACGGAGGGAGCUAGCGUUGUUCGGAAUUACUGGGCGUAAAGCGCGCGUAGGCGGCUUUGUAAGUUAGAGGUGAAAGCCUGGAGCUCAACUUCAGAAUUGCCUUUAAGACUGCAUCGCUUGAAUCCAGGAGAGGUGAGUGGAAUUCCGAGUGUAGAGGUGAAAUUCGUAGAUAUUCGGAAGAACACCAGUGGCGAAGGCGGCUCACUGGACUGGUAUUGACGCUGAGGUGCGAAAGCGUGGGGAGCAAACAGG
rnacentral:rRNA from 1 species